rnacentral:lncRNA from 9 species
ACCCAGUUCCUGCAGUGCUCAGUUCAUCAGACCAUUAAGGACCAUUUCAGACCUGGCUGUAUAGAGCCAUCCAGGAAUCCUCAAAGAAGACUGCCUCUGUGUUCCACUCCAGACUCCAGGAAGAAGGAAGCUGAGUGCCUUACCUGGAUGCAAAUGGGCUGAAGACAGGGGCCACCAUUAAUGGAACCUGAACAGUGCCUAACCUAACCCCUGUGGAUAUCUGUUGAAUGUUAAAUAAUAGCAGAGAUCAUGUAAUAAGGACACUCAGCUCACUCAGGAGAGAAUAUCAAACAGUCUGGAAUUUUCCUGUUGCUGGCAGCACAGCCCAGGAGCAUCCUGAGGGAACCAGAGUCUUUAUAGCAUCAGUGAAAAGGAACUCUGUCCUCCUUAUCUUCCUGCUUUUCUCAGUUCAGCCCCCAUUCUUAUUCCAUUGGUGCCUGGAGGAAGUCUUGGUUAAAAGCUUUCUGAUGGAGACAUUGAUGAUUAGUUUGGAAGGAGCCAGAGUGAGUGGUCCCGACUCCUCCCCCGCUUCCCCCGCUUCCAGGAUGUGCAGGGCUGCACCCAGAACAGAUGCCUUCCUUUGGACAAGGGUCUCAACACCUCUGGGGGCACUGCUGGUCUUGAGAUUCACUCCUUUUCUCAUGUUUGGUCCACUCAGUGUCAGAUGUUUUGCUAGGUGA